rnacentral:rRNA from 1 species
UAGCAAUACUGAGCGAAGCUAGUGGCGAACGGGUGCGUAACACAUGAGUCAUCUGCCCAGAAGUGGGGAAUAGCUCGGCGAAAGCCGGAUUAAUACCGCAUGUGGUCGUAAGACCAAAGCCGGGGCAACCUGGCGCUUUUGGAGGAGCUCGUGGCCUAUCAGCUAGUUGGUGAGGUAACGGCUUACCAAGGCAACGACGGGUAGCUGGUCUGAGAGGACGACCAGCCACACUGGAACUGAGAUACGGUCCAGACACCUACGGGUGGCAGCAGUCGAGAAUUUUUCUCAAUGGGGGAAACCCUGAAGGAGCGACGCCGCGUGGAGGAUGAAUGCUUUCGGGUUGUAAACUCCUGUCAUUUGGGAACAAGGCCUUACGUUAACUGCGUGGAGGAUUGAUAGUACCAGAAGAGGAAGAGACGGCUAACUCUGUGCCAGCAGCCGCGGUAAUACAGAGGUCUCAAGCGUUGUUCGGAUUCAUUGGGCGUAAAGGGCGCGUAGGCGGCGGGGUAAGUCUGGUGUGAAAUCUAGGAGCUCAACUCCUAAACUGCACUGGAUACUGCUCUGCUAGAGGACUGGAGAGGAGACUGGAAUUCACGGUGUAGCA